AAUACUCUUUUAUAUUUUAUCUUCAAAAUAGACAAUGCAUCCUGCCAUAUCAUUCUGAAAUAUAUAGAAUCAUUUGAUUUUAUCAUUGCACCAGGAUGGGUUUCCACAUCUUUGAUGCUACUGUAUGAAAUAACUCUGCACUUUAUAAUGAACUUCGGGGAAUUGAUCAUAAAAAUUGCAUUGUUCUUCCUGAAUACAUCAACAUCAACUCGGUCCUUAUCAAGGGUGCAACUGAAAACAAAGCUAUGGAUGGAUCUGGUGGGCGAGGGUUACGGACUUGAGGACCAAUGGCUUGACUGUCAAGAGUUGCCUGAGGAGCCCAUCAUUAAUACUUCACAACAGCAUAAAUGUGGGACCAGUAUCCGGUUGCAUUCAACUGUGCGGGAAAGCUCAACUGCUUCACUUUGAGUAUUGGAGGUAUCUCUAAAGAAGGUUCCUGUGAGUUGUUGCUAUGGCAUUCCCCGUCCUCAGUGAAGUCCUCUCUAGCAUCCAUCUCAAAAGUGUGCUGCGGGCCGGACAACCCAGUCGUGUGAAAAGGCCCUGUUAGUGAAACGACAUGGACAUUGAAAAUGCCACUAUAUUCAAAAGGCUUUCCUGCUUUGUAUGCUAGGGCAUUGCGGUGUGGUUUCUAGACUAUUUUGAGAGUUUUUGUGCAUUUCUGGGUGAUUGCUAGGUUGUUGCAUACAGGCCCAACUCAAGUCACUUCUUAAAUAUAAUACUUUUUUUGUUGUUUUGUCACCAAAUAUAUAGAUAUGACUUGAGGCAUCAUUCAUGACUGUUCUUACUUUUUCCUUUUUUGCCAAAAAUUACAAAUCUUUCAUGUUGUUCCAAACCUGUGGAACACAUUCAAGAGAAUGAAUCAUAAAUGCAUUUAAAUUUAGAGGGGGGUCUUGUGUUGUUUAGACCACUAUGUUCUUCAAAAUAUUGUUUAAAUAAUAAUAAAUUACAGAAAGAAGUUCCAUGUUCUGUCAUCUAUUAUUCAGUCA